rnacentral:rRNA from 1 species
GAAUAUUGGUCAAUGGACGCAAGUCUGAACCAGCCAUGCCGCGUGCAGGAUGACGGUCCUAUGGAUUGUAAACUGCUUUUGUACGAGAAGAAACACUACUUCGUGAAGUAGCUUGACGGUAUCGUAAGAAUAAGGAUCGGCCAACUCCGUUCCAGCAGCCGCGGUAAUACGGGGGAUCCAAGCGUUAUCCGGAAUCAUUGGGUUUAAAGGGUCCGUAGGCGGUCUUAUAAGUCAGUGGUGAAAUCUCCCCGCUCAACGGGGAAACUGCCAGUGAUACUGUAGGACUUGAAUAAUUAGGAAGUAACUAGAAUAUGUAGUGUAGCGGUGAAAUGCUUAGAGAUUACAUGGAAUACCAAUUGCGAAGGCAGGUUACUACUAAUUCAUUGACGCUGAUGGACGAAAGCGUGGGUAGCGAACAGG